rnacentral:rRNA from 1 species
AGAGUUUGAUCAUGGCUCAGAUUGAACGCUGGCGGCAGGCCUAACACAUGCAAGUCGAGCGGUANCAGNUCCAGCUUGCNGGAUGCUGACGAGCGGCGGACGGGUGAGUAAUGCAUAGGAAUCUGCCCGNUAGUGGGGGAUAACCUGGGGAAACCCAGGCUAAUACCGCAUACGUCCUACGGGAGAAAGGGGGCUCCGGCUCCCGCUAUNGGAUGAGCCUAUGUCGGAUUAGCUAGUUGGUNAGGUAANGGCUNACCAAGGCNACGAUCCGUAGCUGGUCUGAGAGGAUGAUCAGCCACAUCGGGACUGAGACACGGCCCGAACUCCUACGGGAGGCAGCAGUGGGGAAUAUUGGACAAUGGGGGNAACCCUGAUCCAGCCAUGCCGCGUGUGUGAAGAAGGCCCUCGGGUUGUAAAGCACUUUCAGCGAGGAAGAACGCCUAGCGGUUAAUACCCGCUAGGAAAGACAUCACUCGCAGAAGAAGCACCGGCUAACUCCGUGCCAGCAGCCGCGGUAAUACGGAGGGUGCAAGCGUUAAUCGGAAUUACUGGGCGUAAAGCGCGCGUAGGUGGCUUGAUAAGCCGGUUGUGAAAGCCCCGGGCUCAACCUGGGAACGGCAUCCGGAACUGUCAAGCUAGAGUGCAGGAGAGGAAGGUAGAAUUCCCGGUGUAGCGGUGAAAUGCGUAGAGAUCGGGAGGAAUACCAGUGGCGAAGGCGGCCUUCUGGACUGACACUGACACUGAGGUGCGAAAGCGUGGGUAGCAAACAGGAUUAGAUCCCCUGGUAGUCCACGCCGUAAACGAUGUCGACCAGCCGUUGGGUGCCUAGCGCACUUUGUGGCGAAGUUAACGCGAUAAGUCGACCGCCUGGGGAGUACGGCCGCAAGGUUAAAACUCAAAUGAAUUGACGGGGGCCCGCACAAGCGGUGGAGCAUGU